CAUGAAGCCGGAAUUGCUAGUAAUGGCAGGUCAGCAUACUGCCGUGAAUACGUUCCCGGGCCCUUGUACACACCGCCCGUCACACCAUGAGAGUUGGGAAUACCCGAAGCCUGUGAGCUAACGUUAAGAGGCAGCAGUCGAAGGUAGAAUCAAUGAUUGGGGUGAAGUCGUAACAAGGUAUC
rnacentral:rRNA from 1 species